AUUUGGCUUUGGAUACGAUGUUCUUUAAUUUUGAUGGUGGCACCACAUGAUGUGGCAACAAAGUGUCUUGAGAUAGCCCAAGAGGGUGAAAAUUUUAAAUUUUUGCAUAAUAGCAACCAAAAGCUCUCAAGCAAGUAUUCCUGUUGGCCAAAGUCUAGAAGUUGUAGCCCCAAAAGGAACGAGUCAACCAAAUACAAACGGAAGAAGUGUGUGUCUGGAAGUUUGCAUUCCAUGGAAAAAUGGCUGAAGUGUUCCUUUGGGGCAUCCUCCCUCAGAGUUUUAAAAAAACCCAAAGAAAUGAAUUCAAUAGGAUGUGUGAGACCUGUUUCCAAUGUGAAUUCCAGUAGAAAUCCAGCAGCUUGCCUGCCGCCCUUUCAACCAUGGCCUGUCCAGUCAAGUGAGAAACCUUCCUGUUGUGGCUUGCUUAUUCAGAAAAGACUGGUCCACUGGAGCAGAUAAUUUUGAUGACAUACACAUAUUGAGACAUAUGACUCAGUGAUGAAUCUCCUCCUAUGACAUGCCUUUGUUUGCAUAACACCUUGAUGUUUAUGAUGAAGAUUUUGUUGAAAAGGAUGCUUGUGGCUCAUUUGUGACUUGCCAGGUGAUGAGGAGGAACAAGAAGAGGAGAAAGGUGUCUUGGCUGACUGUUCAUGAAAUAUUCUUCAACAGGGCAUGACAUCCGGUUGGCAGCAAUAGAGAGGGUAGGAAAUGUUUUAUACUGAGUUUGUGAAACACUUGGAGGAAGAAGAUGGAGAAUUCAAGAAAAACAGAAAGAUAAAGCCAAGAUUUAUACACAACAAUCCUGCAAGGUUUGGAAUCUGGCCCUGAGUUGGAAAACUAUUUCCAAGUACUUUAGUUAUCGAUUGCUAAUUACAUAUACAGACAAUAAGUGUAGAAUGCCAUUACACUUUCAUUGCUUUUGCAAUUGGACAGUGGGAUUGGUCAUGGUAGCCCAACCCAACCCAACUCCUGCAAGAAUAGGCUAAUGGCUCUUAGGAAGCAGCUGCAAGUAUUUGGCAGGACCUUGCAACAAAAAAACUGACCAUGAGGCAGGUUCAGGUUCUAUUAAGUCACCUUACAUUUUCAUGUAAAGUCCUCACCCCAGACCAAGCACUUCUCUGCCACUGUUGCAAUUCCAGGGGAAGAGUGGAGGUCCCAUCCAUUUGAACAAUGUUAAGUUUGAAUUGGGCACCCAUAUAAGGCCCAAACUAUCUGAUAACUCAUCUUUAGAAGAAGGAAUUCCCUUUACUUCUGAAAAUGUCCAGUUGUUAGAGCUGAAGCAUUUCUUACUUCAUGUAGUUCACAAAUUAUCUUGCUUUGUUUUGUGAUUGGUCUUCAGGAGAUAAAUGCAGGCACCAUUCAAAGGUCUGAAUGCCCGGACCAGAAACUCUUUCUCAUCUUUCUCAAACACCAAUAUGAUUUCUGCUUUAAUCACAGGUUAUGUGUAACAAGGAGGUAUACCGUGUGAUUGCAGAGCUCCUUCCAUCAUUAGAAAUAAUCUUUCUAAUCAAGGAAAUAGCUACUGUAAUUUUUUUCUGAAUUUCUAGAUUUCAAGUAUAAAAUGAGAAAUGGUGUGGGGGGAGAGCAAGACGAGAAAGGAGAAUGCCUCCAUCAGCUCCAGAUCAUCCAUUUUGUGGCAAAAAUUGGCACUAAGCUUGCACUUCAGUUCUGGGAGAAAAAUAUGAGUUGCAUCACCAAAAAAUAGAAGAAGAGAAACCUUUAUUCACAUUAAAGAUGAUGUAUGCACUGUAGCACAUUGUUUGAAUUGCCUAUUCAAAAUCCCAUCAAGAAGCAGGAUGUCAUUAAUGCUACCAGUGUAAAUAAACACUAAGGAAUUGGAGCUACUGGGUAGCUU
rnacentral:lncRNA from 1 species